ensembl:snRNA U6 U6 spliceosomal RNA
GUGCUCACUUCCGCAGCACAUAUACUAAAAAAUUGGAACGAUAGAGAGAAGAUUAGCAUGGCCCCUAUGCAAGGAUGACAUGCAAAUGUGUGAAGCGUUCCAUAUUUUG